AGGAGGUAGCAGUGAGGGCAUUCUGUGAAUGUAUCAUGGCAAGUGGUGGUGGCAUUUAGCAGCAAGAGAACAUUAGAUUAAGAAGGUAAUCCAGUGAGGUCCCUGAAGAGUAGACUGAGGGGGUAAAGUGCAGAAGGGCAUCUGACUCACUGAAGAUUUUAUAGCUGUCACUGAGGCAGCCACGCCGGGGGUUAGGUGGCCAUGCUGCAGCAGCCAGCAUGGGUCAGCCGGUGAGACUGGAGACAGCACACAGCAGGAGGCUGUUUCAAGACCCUGGAGGGAGAGGUCUGCCGGGCAGAGGCUCUCUCUCCAGCCCAUGCCCAGGGCCAGCCAUCUUUGCCCUCUCACUGUGAAAAACUUGUCCACCCAAACCAGCUCUAAAUGAACCCAAAUCAACAUACUCCAAAGUGCAGGGAUCAUGCAGUUCGAUGAGUUUUGCCAUGUGAAUACUCCAUGAAACCCUCCCUACUCCCACCCUGCUGUCCCCAGGCAGCCACUGAUCUCUGUCAUUAUCAGUUCAUGUUUUCUAGAAUUUCAAAAAAUUCUAAAAUUUUAU